rnacentral:rRNA from 1 species
AAUCGAAGCAGUGAACUUAAGCCCCAGUAAACGGCGGCCGUAACUAUAACGGUCCUAAGGUAGCGAAAUUCCUUGUCGGGUAAGUUCCGACCCGCACGAAAGGCGUAACGAUUUGGGCACUGUCUCAACAACAGACUCGGUGAAAUUGUAAUUCCGGUGAAGAUGCCGGAUACCUGCGACAGGACGGAAAGACCCCAUGGAGCUUUACUGUAGCUUGACAUUGGGUCUUGGUACUACAUGUACAGGAUAGGUGGGAGGCUUUGAAACCAGGACGCCAGUUUUGGCGGAGCCAUCCUUGGGAUACCACCCUUGUAGUACUGGGACUCUAACCAUAGGCCAUGAAUCUGGUCUUGGGACACUGUCAGGUGGGCAGUUUGACUGGGGCGGUCGCCUCCCAAAAGGUAACGGAGGCGCUCAAAGGUUCUCUCAGUACGGUCGGAAAUCGUACGUAGAGUGUAAAGGCAAAAGAGAGCUUGAUUGCAAGACAUACAGGGCGAGCAAGGAUGAAAAUCGGACUUAGUGAUCCGGUGGUUCUGCGUGGAAGGGCCAUCGCUCAACGGAUAAAAGCUACCCUGGGGAUAACAGGCUUAUCUCCCCCAAGAGUCCACAUCGACGGGGAGGUUUGGCACCUCGAUGUCGGCUCAUCACAUCCUGGGGCUGUAGUAGGUCCCAAGGGUUGGGCUGUUCGCCCAUUAAAGUGGUACGCGAGCUGGGUUCAGAACGUCGUGAGACAGUUCGGUCCCUAUCCGUCGCAGGCGUAGGAAAUUUGAGAAGACCUGUCCUUAGUACGAGAGGACCGGGAUGGACGUACCUCUGGUGUACCAGUUGU